GAUGAAGAACGUAGCGAAAUGCGAUAAGUAGUGUGAAUUGCAGAAUUCAGUGAAUCAUCGAAUCUUUAAACGCACAUUGCGCCCCUUGGUAUUCCAUGGGGCAUGCCUGUUCGAGCGUCAUUUGUACCUUCAAGCUUUGCUUGGUGUUGGGUGUUUGUCUCGCCUUUGCGUGUAGACUCGCCUUAAAAUAAUUGGCAGCCGGCGUAUUGAUUUCGGAGCGCAGUACAUCUCGCGCUUUGCACUCAUAACGACAGCGUCCAAAAGUACAUUUUACACUCUUGACCUCGGAUCAGGUAGGGAUACCCGCUGAACUUAAGCAUAUCAAUAAGCGGAGGA
rnacentral:misc_RNA from 1 species